AGAACGAACGCUGGCGGCAGGCCUCAAACAUGCAAGUCUAGGGGGUGUAGCAAUACAUCACCGGCGGACGGGUGCGUAACGCGUGGGAAUGUACCUAUUGGUUCGGAACAACUGAGGGAAACUUCAGCUAAUACCGAAUGUGCCCGAAAGGGGAAAGAUUUAUCGCCAAUGGAUCAGCCCGCGUAGGAUUAGCUAGUUGGUGAGGUAAUGGCUCACCAAGGCUCCGAUCCUUAGCUGUUCUGAGAGGAAGAUCAGCCACACUGGGACUGAGACACGGCCAGACUCCUAGGGAGCAGCAGUUGGAAUCUGGACAAGUGGGGAAACCCUGACUCCAGCCAAGUGCCGCGUGAGUGAUGAAGGCCUUGGUUGUAAACUACGUUACGUACGGGAACGAGUAA
rnacentral:rRNA from 1 species